ACUCAAAGGAAUAGACGGGGGCCCGCACAAGCGGUGGAGCAUGUGGCUUAAUUCGAUGCAACGCGAAGAACCUUACCUAGGCUUGACAUGUACUGGACAGGGCGUGAAAGCGCCUCUCCCUUCGGGGCCGGUACACAGGUGCUGCAUGGCUGUCGUCAGCUCGUGUCGUGAGAUGUUCGGUUAAGUCCGUCAACGAGCGCAACCCCUGUUCCUAGUUGCCAGCGAGUAAUGUCGGGGACUUUAGGAAGACAAACUUCUUUUAGAAGUGGGAAGGUGGGGAUGACGUCAAGUCAGCAUGGCCCUUAUGCCUAGGGCUGCACACGUGCUACAAUGCCUAGUACAAUAGGAUGCAAUAUCGCGAGAUGGAGCUAACCCUCAAAGCUAGGCUCAGUUCAGAUUGGAGUCUGCAACUCGACUCCAUGAAGUCGGAAUCGCUAGUAAUGGCGUAUCAGCUACGGCGCCGUGAAUACGUUCUCGGGCCUUGCACACACCGCCCGU
rnacentral:rRNA from 1 species